AUAUUUUAAUUUUUGAUAUAAAUAAAGGCUUUUGAAAUCUGAUCUUAUCAGCUUGAUAUCUGAUACGGUUUCCAUCGGAGACCUUCGAUAUUAACCUGAUUUUUGGAACGGGGCGGGAAAGGGGGCUUGCUCCCUCCCCGCCGCGGGUUGCUCUGGCCUGGCACUUAUUGCCAGAGAUAGCCCACCCCCC
rnacentral:snRNA from 1 species